CCUACGGGGUGCACCAGUGGGGAAUAUUGCACAAUGGGCGCAAGCCUGAUGCAGCCAUGCCGCGUGUAUGAAGAAGGCCUUCGGGUUGUAAAGUACUUUCAGCGGGGAGGAAGGUAUUGUGGUUAAUAACCACAGCAAUUGACGUUACCCGCAGAAGAAGCACCGGCUAACUCCGUGCCAGCAGCCGCGGUAAUACGGAGGGUGCAAGCGUUAAUCGGAAUUACUGGGCGUAAAGCGCACGCAGGCGGUUGAUUAAGUUAGAUGUGAAAUCCCCGGGCUUAACCUGGGAAUGGCAUCUAAGACUGGUCAGCUAGAGUCUUGUAGAGGGGGGUAGAAUUCCAUGUGUAGCGGUGAAAUGCGUAGAGAUGUGGAGGAAUACCGGUGGCGAAGGCGGCCCCCUGGACAAAGACUGACGCUCAGGUGCGAAAGCGUGGGGAGCAAACAGGAUUAGAUACCCUCGUAGUC
rnacentral:rRNA from 1 species